GAGGCUUCCUAUGGGAAGCCUUACUGUUUCCCAGCUCACUUUUCCUCCAUGGGAAGGGGCCUUGGACGGAGCGAUGUUUACAGCAGUCCAGAUGUGAAGGCUGGUUCCGCAUUAAGUCACCCUGAUCUUCUAAUCCCAGGGGAGGAUCAAGUCUGAGCACUGCUUGCUUGUGGUGUGGAGGAAAGAAAAUUGAUGAAAAAUGUUCUUCAAUUCUGAAGGUGUAUCUGCCAGGUAUGGCCUGUCAUAGGAACAAGAAUUUCAUCUACAGUUGCUGAAUUUUUCAAAGUGAAGGAAAAAGAACAUUACAUAGCAUUAAGAAAAAAUUAUACAGAUGGAGCAGGAGACAAGACCAACGUGUCUGUGUGGAACUGCCUGUCCCCAAGGUUCUGGGCAUUAUUAGAGACAAGUUGCUUGUUCAAUUGUCUUUGAACAUUCUACAUCUCCUUUUGACCAUUCUACAUCGUGGACUGCAGCCCAGGGGAUGAACCAGGCUCCCUAGAGCUAUUCCAACUCCAGCCUUUGUCCUCUGAGACUAUGUCUCUCCUAAAAAGGGAGAGAAUGGAGGGAUAAAAGUAUAAGAAGUCACUGCCCCUCAUAUGACCUCUGCUGGACUCUCAUAAAAUAUGCUUAAGAGGAUGGGACUACCCUUUCUAAUGCAGUUUUUUAAUUUGCUUUUGUUUUAUCUAUGGUAAAUUUAGAUAUUUAGAAAAGUUCACUAAGAGUAGAAGAGAUAUUUUUGGAGAAGGACACUUGGAAUUCACUUGAGUAAGUGAAAUUUUUUUAUGACUCUGCUGGCACAUGUGAUGCAAAUCUUUUUUUCCUCUGAAGAUUUCAACUUUAGCAGCUUACAGAUACUGUUGGUUUUGCGGGCCAGGGUAUGCUGACCAAAAGAGCCAUUCCAGCUCCCCUUGAUACUGCUGGAAGAGUCAUCUUUGACUUUAAGAGUGUGUGGUCUUAGGCAGCAGUAUGCAGUUGUGCAUAAGUUGGGUAUAAGGGAAUUUCCAGCCCCCAUGUCAAUACCACAAUUUCAGAACAGUUGAGUUCAGUGCAAAUGGUGUAGAGCAUUAUGGAAUACCUGGUGGAAAAAGGGCCUGCUCAGGUGAUUGUGAUAUGAAAUGUACUCUGUUGAGAGGAAUGCAUCAGUUAUCUCAGUAUAUUUUGGA